rnacentral:rRNA from 1 species
AGACCGGUUUACUGGUCGUGCUUUUGUACGUACUGGUAUAAUCGGUUUCUCUUUUCUGACAAACUAUAAUGCCAUUAAUUUGGUGUUAUAGGGAAUCAGGACUGUUACUUUGAAAAAAUUAGAGUGUUUAAAGCAGGCUCACGCUUGAAUACAUUAGCAUGGAAUAAUAGAAUAGGACUUUGGCCCUAUUUUGUUGGUUUCUAGGACCGAAGUAAUGAUUAAUAGGGAUAGUUGGG